GACGUAGGGCGCGAGCGUUGUCCGGAUUUACUGGGCGUAAAGCGCGCGCAGGCGGUUCGUUAAGUCCGGUGUGAAAGCUCCCGGCUCAACUGGGAGAGGUCAUUGGAUACUGGCGGACUUGAGGGAUGCAGAGGAAGGUGGAAUUCCCGGUGUAGUGGUGAAAUGCGUAGAGAUCGGGAGGAACACCAGUGGCGAAGGCGGCCUUCUGGGCAUUUCCUGACGCUGAGGCGCGAAAGCGUGGGGAGCGAACCGG
rnacentral:rRNA from 1 species